ensembl:lncRNA
CAGGUAUCCCAGCCCCCCAACCCUUCUGUCUCCAGGUUCUGGUAACCAAGUCCCUCUUACCCCCAGCUUGUACCUCCUUGCAGGCCUAGGGAAGGUAAUGAAGCCCUGUUAAUAGACCUGGAAUUCUACUCUAUCUCUGUGGUUUUUCUAUACCUGCCCACACCUUUGUAGAGAGUCUGUUCCUCAAACAGUCCUCAUAUUAUGCUAAUUUGGAUGUUGACAUGGUUUGGAUUUGUGUCCCCGCCCAAAUCUCAUGUCAAAUUGUAAUUGCCAGUGUCGGAGGAGAGGCCUAAUGGGAGGUGAUUGGAUCAUGGAGGUGGAUUUUCCCCCCUUGCUGUUCUUGUGAUAGUGAAUUCUCAAGAGAUCUGGUUGUUUAAAAAUGUGUAGCACCUCCCACUCCUUUCUUUUCCUCCUGCUCCAGUCACGUAAGACAUUGCCUGCUUCCCCUUGCCUUCUGCCAUGAUUGUAAGUUUCCUGAGGCUUCCCCAGAACCUGUACAGCCCGCAGAAACAUGAACUAACUAAACCUCUUUAUCAAUUACCUUGUCUCAGGUAGUUCUUUGUAACAGUGGGGGAACAGACUAAUACAACUGUGCUAUCUGUUUUCCGCAGGUUCAACUUGCCUGAUACAGGACUCCUGCCCUACCCGUCUAUUUUACUGCUUUAUAGCCCCUUCUACAGAGCAGGACCAGCUGACCAUGCAAGGAGGAGAAAGAGACCAUUGCUCACAGCCACUGCCCCCAGCCAGGAGUUUCUCGUCCCAUGACUCAGGAAGGAGAGAUUCGGGUGGCGCCAGACAAAACAUCUGGACUCAAAAAAUCUGGACACGGCUGGGAUCCGGACCCAGGGCCACCCACAGCAGGUUGGCGGCUCCUGCUGAAGCUAGCAGACAACUCAUCCAUUCAACCAGAAGCUGACAGAGGACCUAUGAUGUGCCAAGAGCUGUGUAUUAGUCUGUUUACAUGCUGCUGAUAAAGACAUACCCGAGAAUGGGCAAUUUACAAAAGAAAGAGGCUUAAUUGAACUUACAGUUCCACGUGGCUGAGGAAGCCUCACAAUUAUGGUGGAAGGCAAAGAGGAGCAAGUCCAGUCUUACGUGGAUGGCAGCAGGCAAAGAGAGAAUGAAGACGCAAAUCGGAAACUCCGAUAAAACCAUCAGAUCUCGUGAGACUUAUUCACCACCGCGAGAACAGUACUGGGGAAACCUGCUCCCAUGAUCCAAUUAUCUCCCACCGGGUCCCUCCCACAACACGUGGGAAUUAUGGGAGCUACAAUUCAAGAUGAGAUUUGGGUGGGGACGCAGAGCCAAACCAUAUCAAGCUGUUCCAAGCAUAGAGAGCACCGUAGUGAAAUCAAUGACAAGAACUUGAAGUGCCUUCCUUUCAAAGAUAGCCCAAAUUAAUCUUGUGCAUCAACUGUGCCCCCGACUGGUUCGAUUCUGACCUGCCUCACUUGCUCUCUUCCUUCCCUAGCAAAUGCUUCCUUUCCGAGCCCUUUGGUUAUUGUAAUCAUUCUCUUCUCAUAUUAUCUUGGCAUUCUCAUUAUCAUCUUAAUAUCUUCUAGUAGACAAGGCAAUCCUUACAUGGCUGCCAGAAAGAACGAAGGUUCACAACAACUUUUUUAGAAUAACAAAGUAACUGCAAAUAACCUAAAAUGCUUAGAAACAGAUGACUGCCUGAAUAUGCUAUGGUAAUAAUUAUAAUCAUAGCAGCUAAAGUUAAUUGGGUGCUUAUUGGGUGCUAGGUGCUGUUUUAGGAGUUUUCGCAUGCCUCAGCUUAUUUAAUUCUCACAAAACCUUUAUGCUGCGCAUUCUUAUUUUAUCCUCCUUUUACACGUUUGGCUCAGAGGGGUUAAAAAUUUGCCCAGCAUGACACAGCUAGUAAGUGAUGAGGCCUGAGUUUACAACCACCAUGCUACUCUAGGAUUACUUGGAGGGUUAUGUACCUGCUAAAGGGCAAAAGCACACACCACAUUUG